rnacentral:rRNA from 1 species
UACGUAGGGUGCAGGCGUUAAUCGGAAUUACUGGGCGUAAAGCGUGCGCAGGCGGUUUCUUAAGUCAGAUGUGAAAGCCCCGGGCUUAACCUGGGAACUGCGUUUGAAACUGGGAGACUUGAGUGUGGCAGGAGGGGGGUGGAAUUCCGACGUGUAGCAGUGGAAAUGCGUAGAUAUGUGGAGGAACACCGAUGGCGAAGGCAGCCCCCUGGGUUAACACUGACGCUCAUGCACGAAAGCGUGGGGAGCAAACAGG